rfam:Solibacillus silvestris StLB046 DNA, complete genome.
AAAUAAAUAGUAUUGUGCCUUCAUAUAAGUCUGGUAAUAUGGUCCAGAUGUUUCUACUAAGUUACCCUAAAUAACUUAUCUAUGACGGUGGGUCCCACUAUA